GUGUGCAAGAGGUUCAGAAAUUUCAUUAGCAAUUUUCUUAAUAAUUUGUGAACUCACACCAUCAUAUCCUGGACUCUUUUUAGAAUUCAUCUUUUUUAUUUCUGUUUCAAUUUCAUAUUUUGUAAUUGGUUCAAGAAAAAAACUAUCUUUAUAGUUAUGCGAAAGGUAUUCAUUAAUUGUUCUUUUGCAAUUUGGCAUUUUGUUGGCUAUUCCUGGUCCGACGUUUACAAAGUAUUCAUUGAAUUUAUUUGCUAUAGUAAAAGGGUCAAUCAAUAUUUCAUCGGGACAUCUUCCGACAAAUUCAUUCGAUAAUAUUUGACUCUUUUUUGUUUAUUCAUAAUUUCAUUGAGUGUCUUCCAUAAUAAUUUCGCAUUGCCUUUGUAAUUUAUUAGUUGCUCUUCAUAGUAUUUCUUUUUUACUCCUUUUAUUACAUGAUUUAAUUUAUUCUUGUAUUGUUUGUAUUUGUUUUCAUUGUUUGCAGUAAGAUGGUGUAAAUAUUUCUUAUAUAACUUAUUCUUUUUAAUAACUGAUUUUGCAAUGCAUUUUGUCAUCCAUGGACUUUUCUUUUUGUCAAUUUUUCUUUUUGUAAGGUUUUUUGUUAAUGGGAAGUUACUUUCGUAGAUUGGAGAAAAUAAGAAAGUGAAAGAAUUGAUUGUAUGACUCUGUGAUGUUGUUACUAGAAAGCACGUUUUCGCAUGACAUAUUUUUAAUACUAUUGCUAAAUGAUUUAACAUUAGAGUCUCUGAUGACAUUUUUGUAAAUAAAUUCUUCUGCUGGUGGUGUUUCAUGUCGCGUUUUUAAGUUACGUACAUGAACUAUGGG